ensembl:lncRNA
AUGUUGUAUGGCCGAGGGAUUCUGUCACGGCUCGUGAGAGGGAUCCAAAAGCAAACACCGGAACCAGAUCCCACCAGCGGAGCCUUGCUAUGCAACCCUGAGCUCCUCCAGAAACCAGGAGGAUCUUCUUCUCUACUCCAACGUCAGUCCAGCUCGCCCCCCCAGACGCAAGGAGGUGGUGGAGGAAGUUCUGUACUCACGUGUCAACUUUGAGAGUUCUGGUGCUGCCAGCGAACGGAGAUGUGAAGGAGCUGAGGAUGAUUCUUCUGCUCUGUACAGCACCAUCAGCAAAGCACCAAGAGAAUGAACCCACACAGAUAUGUGGUCUGUUACUGUACAGAGUUUAAGCAGCUUAAACACACCUGCAUGAAUAUGAGGUUUGACAUGUUGUAUAUUCACCAUCGUUAAGGCUUCCAUCAGAGAAGCAUCAGGGAGCCAAUGGGAGGCCAGCUUGUAGUCUGUAAUCAGCCUUUAAAUGUUACUAAUCAGCAAUAUGUUACUACCAGUUCUAUACAAGCAUCUUCAGGUACAUUAAUCUGUAAAUAGUCUUUACCAAUAUUGCCAAUAUGCUUCUAUUGAUUCUCAUA